rnacentral:lncRNA from 1 species
GGAAUUGACCAUUAAAACAUAAAAUGGUAUACUCUUUAACAACUUAUAAAGUCUGCAAAAUUAAAAAAAAAAACAAAAAACAAACCCCAACUUAACAAAUGAAUAAAAUAAAACCCAACAACAAAUAAUUCAAACGCCCUUUAAAAAUAUUACAAGUGACACGGAAAUUAUGGCAUACGCGUGAUAACAGAUUAUCCUAUCCUUUUUUUUUUUUUUUUUUUUUUUAACUUUUUUACAUAACGUAUAACGAAUAGUUAUCAAAGGUACCAGGAUUAUAAUUCAGUACGCCAGACGCGCGUUUCGUCUACAUAAGACUCAUCAGUGACGCUCAUAUCAAAAUAUUUAUAAAGCCAAACAAGUACAAAGUUGAAGAGCAUUGCCGAUCCAAAAUUCCAAAAAGUUGUGCUAAAAGGAUAUCAAAUAUAACAGUAUACAUCAUGUUAUUCUACUCGUUGUUUGGUAAAAGCCAGUAAACUUCCGAUGUUUCGUAUUCUCUAGAUGUCUUGAAGUAUCAAUAAAUACAUCUCCAUAUUUUCUCAGCUACAAUUUAAACAUUUUAUAUUUAAAAAAAUAUUAUUUUAAAAGUAAUGAUCGUACAGUUUUUGUUAAAUUAUGCUGAACGUCUUACCCGAGACUUUCUAGUCGGAUUUGUCUAUUUAAGAAAUAAUUCAUGGAAGCCAUAGAUUUGUUGGAAAUUUACACAUGACCUGGGCCGUGAUAUUCGAAUUUUAUCCUGAGCGUUAGCGAGGGAUAAAAUUAACGAAUAUCACGGCCCAGGCCAUGUGUAAAUUUACAACAAAUCUAUGGCUUCCAUGAAUUAUUUCGAUUCUAAUAGGACAAAUACGAUCAUUAAAAAACUGAAGCGAUGAUGGGUAUACCGUGUGUGUGGCUGUUCUAUUUUACCCACUGUUCGAUAAAUGUAAAACAAAUCUAAUAAACCUGCAUGAAUGAUUUCUUAACUAACCGCUAGAAAAAAAAAUGUGAUUACUUUUUUUACUUCUCAGUAAACCCAACAUUUGCAAUUUUAAAUUUACAUUUUUUAUCGUAAGCUACCGUCAAAUUCACUGUUGACAUGUUGUAACCAAGGAGCCGCCAUGUUGACUUGCUGAAAUCAGUAAAUGUGCGAAUAAUGCGAUAGAACAGAAAACAAGCAACACCUACCUCAAUACUUUAUUUUAAUGCAAUUGUAUCCGAG